rnacentral:SRP_RNA from 1 species
GCCGGGCGUGGUGGUGUGUGCCUGUAGUCCCAGCUACUCAGGAGGCUGAGGUGGGAGGAUCGCUUGAGCCCAGGAGUUCUGGGCUGUAGUGCACUAUGCCGAUCGGGUGUCCACACUAAGUUCGGCAUCAAUAUGGUGGCCUCCCGGGAGCAGGGGACCACCAGGUUGCCUAAGUAGGGGUGAACGGACCCAGGUCGGAAACGGAGCAGGUCAAAACUCCUGUGCUGAUCAGUAGUGGGAUGGCGCCUGUGAAUAGCCACUGCACUCCAGCCUGGGCAACAUAGCAAGACCCUGUCUCU